AAUCAACGCUGGCGGCGUGCCUCAGACAUGCAAGUCGAACGCGAAAGUCUCCUUCGGGGGAUAAGUAGAGUGGCGCACGGGUGAGUAACACGUAGGUAAUCUACCUUCGGAUGGGGAAUAACAACCGGAAACGGUUGCUAAUACCGCAUAAUGCAGCGGCACCUAAUGGUGACAGUUGUUAAAGCGGGGGAUCGAAAGACCUCGCGUCUGAAGAGGAGCCUGCGGCGGAUUAGCAGUUGGUAGGGUAAUGGCCUACCAAGGCGACGAUCCGUAGCCGGCCUGAGAGGGCGGUCGGCCACACUGACACUGACAUACGGGUCAGACUCCUACGGGAGGCAGCAGUCGGGAAUUUUGGGCAAUGGGCGAAAGCCUGACCCAGCAACGCCGCGUGAAGGAUGAAAUCCCUCGGGAUGUAAACUUCGCAAGAACGGGAAGAAAUAAGUAGGGGACAACUACCCCCUAUGAUGACGGUACCGUUUGUAAGCUCCGGCUAACUCCGUGCCAGCAGCA
rnacentral:rRNA from 1 species